GAGGCUGACCUGGACCAUGCCAUGCGUGGUGAAGCAUGUUUAACAAAUGUUCGCACACUUGUGUGCCGCGGAACAGCGGCUGGGAAUCACUGGAUUGGAGCACAGUUAUGGGGUGAAUCUGUUUUGGCUCGAUGUAAAUCCUGUCUGCUGUCGGGACUCGGCCUCUCUGGCUUUUCGUCUGAGAUUUACAGCUUGACCAUUUAUUUACUGAUAAACACUACUUCACCUAAGAGACUUGAGUAUCCAGUUCUUCGUUGACCUUCAGCAUUCAGUUGUUUGUCUUCACCUUUUCAGGUUUCCUGUGUCCAGCAUCUUCAAGACAGACUAAGCUAACGUUUCAUAUUUUUUGCACAUUUAUAUUUAGGUUAGGUUAGGAAUAGGUUAGGUUUAUAGUAGAGUAUUUAGUUUGUAUAGUUUAGCUUUUUAUGCUGGUCUAGGGACAGUUAAGUUAGCAAAUUAAUUUAGUUCAGAUCACUUACAAUUGCAUAUUAUUGUUACAAUUGUGUUAUUUUGUGAGUUAUUGUUGUACAGGCUAUUGUAUAUUGCAGAACCAAGUGAGACGAGGAAGACCACUGCUUCCAAGAUGCCGCUCAGAAAAUGCGUUGGACAAGUCUCGACCUUGCAGAUCCUGCCCCACUUAGCCCAACCACUUCCGACCAUGGGGUACCUCAAAGACCUCCGUCAACCAGCCGGCUGUGGAUGAUGGAUAACGGACCCACAACUCCUUCUCCAGUCUACAAGGUUCUGAAAAUACAGACACCCCCACAGUCCAAGAACAGCUGGAUGACCUCUGGACCCACUUGCCCCCGUUCACCAGUUGAAAAGAUAAGCUUUUUAAAAAAUUCUUCAAUUGUUAAUUCUGCACAAAGUGAUACACAAAACAUUGUCUGUAUUCCAUUGCAACAAACAUUAAAUGUAUAUUUAAAUACAUGACUUAAUGCAAGUCAAUCAUACUAACGUCAUCUUUUUUUUUUUUUAAACCAACCAUUGCACAC